UGGGAGUGUGGUGGAAUGGUAGACACAACAGACUUAAAAUCUGUUGAUCUUUAGGUCGUGAGGGUUCAAGUCCCUCCACUCCCAA
rnacentral:tRNA from 1 species